rnacentral:rRNA from 1 species
UGACAAGAAAUAACAAUACAGGGCCUUUUAGGUCUUGUAAUUGGAAUGAGUACAAUUUACAUCUCUUCACGAGGAUCAAUUGGAGGGCAAGUCUGGUGCCAGCAGCCGCGGUAAUUCCAGCUCCAAUAGCAUAUAUUAAAGUUGUUGCAGUUAAAACGCUCGUAGUCGGAUUUCGGGGCGGGCCGGCCGGUCUGCCGAUGGGUAUGCACUGGUUGGCGCGUCCUUCCUCCCGGAGACCGCGCGGGAGACGGGACGUUUACUUUGAAAAAAUCAGAGUGUUUCAAGCAGGCAGUCGCUCUUGCAUGGAUUAGCAUGGGAUAAUGAAAUAGGACUCUGGUGCUAUUUUGUUGGUUUCGAACACCGGAGUAAUGAUUAACAGG